rnacentral:rRNA from 1 species
UACGUAGGGCGCAAGCGUUGUCCGGAAUUAUUGGGCGUAAAGAGCUUGUAGGCGGUCUGUCGCGUCUGCUGUGAAAACCCGGGGCUCAACCCCGGGCCUGCAUUCGAUACGGGCAGACUAGAGUUCGGUAGGGGAGUCUGGAAUUCCUGGUGUAGCGGUGAAAUGCGCAGAUAUCAGGAGGAACACCGGUGGCGAAGGCGGGACUCUGGGCCGAUACUGACGCUGAGGAGCGAAAGCGUGGGGAGCGAACAGG